UUUACUGGAGGAAGGUGGGGAUGACGUCAAGUCCUCAUGGCCCUUAUGUCCUGGGCUACACACGUGCUACAAUGGCGGUGACAGUGGGAAGCUACAUGGUGACAUGGUGCUGAUCUCUAAAAGCCGUCUCAGUUCGGAUUGUACUCUGCAACUCGAGUACAUGAAGGUGGAAUCGCUAGUAAUCGCGGAUCAGCAUGCCGCGGUGAAUACGUUCCCGGGCCUUGUACACACCGCCCGUCACACCAUGGGAGUUGGUUCGACCUUAAGCCGGUGAGCGAACCGCAAGGACGCAGCCGACCACGGACGGGUCAGCGACUGGGGUGAAGUCGUAACAAAGUGGCUUUCCCC
rnacentral:rRNA from 1 species